rnacentral:lncRNA from 1 species
GCUUUUUCUAUCGUUUAAACACUUUUAUUAUUCCUUUAAAAAAAAAUAUAAUACGUAAAAUAUUGAAUAAAGUAGAAAUAUGCGUUUUAUAUUUUUUAUCAAUUCAUAGGGUAGGUAAAGAGAGAUAUGAAGAUAUAUAUGGUUUUUUUUUAAUAAUAUGUAUAUUAUAUAUUUUAAAAUGUUUAAUAACCAUUUUUCUUUUUAAUAAAAAAAAAAAAUUAGCUAACAAUAAUAUAAUAAAAAAUAAAGAAACAGAAAAUAUAUAUAUAGAAAAUUUAUUAAAGCGUAUUUUAUAUAUGGUUGAAAGAAAGAAAAUAAAAACUGAAAAUAAUAAUGAUAUUAGUGAUAAUAUUAAUGAUAGAAUAACAAAUGAAAACAUAUUACAAGCAAUAUUAGAAAAAACAGAUGACAUUUUAAUGAAUAAUAAUAUAAUAAAUAAAGAAAAUAAAACAAUCUACACGGAUAUUAUAACUAAUAUAAACAACAUAGGUAUAUUUACUUAUGUUUCUACACAAGCAUUAAAAAAUAUUAAUCGAAAAUCAGAUAUUAUACUAAACGAACUUGUUAGUGGAGGAACCGCUACAGGUAUAGCACCAGAAAUAGGAAAUGGAGAUGGAGAUGAACAGGGGGAAGGGGAAGGAAUAGGAGCAGGAGUAAGUUGUACUAUUGAAAAUACACAAUUAGGCGAAUUAAUAGAUGACACAGAUAUUGGUAAUAUAAAUAUGGAGCACAUAAGUCUAGGAUAUAAUUCAGGUUCUAUGGAUGAGCACCAUCCUAUCCCUAUCAAUGGAUAUGCUGGUAUAAAUACUAUGAAUAUGGGUCAUGCUAAUAUGAGUCGUGAUAGCUUAGGAUCUAUGAAUCUUAGUUGUUUAGAUAUAAGUAAUAAUAUAGGUAUGAAUAACAAAUUGAAAUUAAUGAAGCGAUUUACAAGCGAGUAUAAUAAUAUGAAUCUGGAAAAUUUUAAAAAUAGUUUUAUUCAUACGGAUAUGUAUAAUUUUAAUGAUGCUGGUGUUGGUGCUGGUGCUGGUGUUGGUGUCGGUGCUGGUGCUGGAUCGGGCACCGAUACUGAAAGUCCGAAUGUGCUACCGAAUUAUAAUUUGGAUUAUACUAAAAAUAUCCCAAACGAAAGUAAAAACAAAUAUUUGGUAAAAAAUAAUGAAUACCCUUUUGGUUAUGAUAUUAGUGAUACGAAUAAAGAUGACGACAAUUUAGAUACACCUAGUGAUAUUAUUCAUAAUGUUAAUAUUAGAAAUAAUAGUGCUGAUAAAAAUAGUAUAGGAAAUAAAAAUAUUAAUAUGGGUAUGGUUGGAAGCGUUUCAAUUAAUAGUAAUAACAAUAACAAUAAUACUUCUAAUAACACUGCUACUGCUACAGCUACAGCUACUAGUACAAGUACUAUACCACAGGAUGUAAUGUUAAAUGGAACUAAAAAGUUUGUAACUGAUGUUACUGCAAAUAUUGUUACUACAAACGUUGUUACUACAAACGUUGUUUCUCCAAAUAAUGUUUCUCCGAAUGUUGCCAUCGGGGGAACACAUAAAGCUGCUACUGCUGUUGCUAGAAAAACUAUUACCAACAGUUCAAGCACAUAUCGUAAUCUCACUUCUUCUAACAAUAUGAACAUAAGUAAUUCAAAAUUGUAUUUGAAUAAUAUUAUAGAUGGUCAAGUAAGUUAAUAAAAACU